GGCAGGGCAUCAGAGGGUCAGAGGAGGAGACAGGGGUGGGAAGAGAGGAAGGAGAGGGGGGUGGAAAGCAGCUGCGUGUGUCUGUUCAUUAACCACCUGGAUUAGCCAUUUCUGCCCAGAGGGGUGAGGAGGGAAUGAGAGCUGCUGGCUGGGGGAGGGCAGCAGGGGGCACUUAUGCCAGGCGGUGCCCAGGGCCCCAGGGACCCAAGCUGCGGGGAGGUGAGCGCAGCGGGGAAACCCUUCCAGGCCCACUAGACCCUCCCUGGAAGCCUUGGGCAGCCCUCUGGGAGAUGAGAGGCGGGAGCCAGGGGAGCCCCGAGAACAGGGCCCGGCAGCAGCUCCAGCGGUGGCUGGGAAAGAAAUGAAGAGGAAAAAUUCCCACGCCCAUCUCCUGGUCCCCUCCUGAGGCACCCCUGCUGAAGAAAGCGAUCCUGGAGUGCUUUGGUGACUUGUCCAAGACCACACAGGAUGGUGUUGAGCAGAAAGUCGACCUUGGAUAGGCUCAUUCCAGAGCCAAGCUCCUCACCGCUCAGCUCUCCAGACACUGAAAGGCCCUUCUCUUCCCCAUCUGGGCCAGUGACCUGCAUUUCUGAGCCUCAGUUCCCCCUGCUGUAUGAUGAGUUUGGAUCCAAAGGUCUUCAAGAUGUCUUCCAGUUCUAACACUCACUAAUUUUAUUAAUUCAUCCAAACGCUUCCCCAGGAAAGUGACAGGGAAGACCCAGAGGAGGGACAGUCUCAGGAAAGAUCUGGGGGCAUCUAGGGCCAGUGUCACAGGGCAACGAUCAGUACUUUGGAGGGCUGCUCCCCCUGCUUCAGUGACAGUGAAGCCUUGAGGAUUGGGGGGGUAGGAGUAGGGCACCUUCCCAGGACCCUAAUGUGGGCAGGGUAGAGAUGGAAGCAUCACUGCGCCCACCCCCUGCCUCCAGAACAAGAUGACUUCACCCCUUCCCAGGUGGAGAGUCUGGAUUCCCAGAGUCCCAAAUCCCAGUAUCUCUAAACCUACCAGCCCUUGCCAGUGGCCUCCCUCUGUGAGUGUGUAGGUGCAGCCAGAGACAGAGAUAGGAGAGACGUGGCCCCACAAAAUGUGCCUCUGAGACUGUGGACUGUGUGAGGAAAGAGUCUAGCCCUCCCUCGUCCCAACUCUGGGACAAAGAUGAAUCCUAAUAGCCUGUCCUACUAACUCCCACAUCCCUGCAGACCAACAUCGACUCAGGGGCUUGGUUCAGCCUUGGUCAGGGGAGGGAAGUGAGAGAUUCCACGUCAGCAAUCUGGGCUCCCCUAAAGGUAGAUGGGGAGUCUGCCACAGAAGCGGAAACCCCCUCCCUGUCUUGGGUCAUGAAUGGCAGACACGCCAUCCUCUCCCUCUCCUCCUUCCAACCCACACCCCACCAUCACCCUGACUGACCCCAAACUAUCCCAGGCUCCCCACUGCCUACCAGAUCCAGUCCCAGCACUGCAGAAGGACCCUCUGUGACACAGCCCCACCUCGAAGCCUUUUCAAGGCACCAUUCCCCCUUUUCCUUCUCCACGAUCAGGCCUCAAUUCAAAAGCCACAUCCUCCCUGGGUCCUUCUGCAACUGCCCCUCCAGUAGGCACUGGCCCCUCCUCUGAACACUGAGGGCUCUUGCUCAUACAUUAAUGGACACUCACUGGUUGGGUGCACUUGUCUAUGUCCCAGUGAGUUGAGCGAAGAUUCAUUCGUCAUUUCCUUCCCCUUUCCUCGCAUGCUGGGUACCCAGUGCAAGGUGGCCGCAUAGAUUCUCAGUGAAUGCAGACUGAAUAAAUAAAUGGUGGAGUGAUGGAUAGAUGGAUGGUUGGCUACAGACUGAAUAAACGAACACUUCUUAAUGUUUGAUUCUG